GACGAACGCUGGCGGCGUGCCUAAUACAUGCAAGUUGAGCGAUGAAGAUUGGUGCUUGCACCAAUUUGAAGAGCAGCGAACGGGUGAGUAACGCGUGGGGAAUCUGCCUUUGAGCGGGGGACAACAUUUGGAAACGAAUGCUAAUACCGCAUAACAACUUUAAACAUAAGUUUUAAGUUUGAAAGAUGCAAUUGCAUCACUCAAAGAUGAUCCCGCGUUGUAUUAGCUAGUUGGUGAGGUAAAGGCUCACCAAGGCGAUGAUACAUAGCCGACCUGAGAGGGUGAUCGGCCACAUUGGGACUGAGACACGGCCCAAACUCCUACGGGAGGCAGCAGUAGGGAAUCUUCGGCAAUGGGCGAAAGUCUGACCGAGCAACGCCGCGUGAGUGAAGAAGGUUGUCGGAUCGUAAAACUCUGUUGGUAGAGAAGAACGUUGGUGAGAGUGGAAAGCUCAUCAAGUGACGGUAACUACCCAGAAAGGGACGGCUAACUACGUG
rnacentral:rRNA from 1 species